CUUACUGAAAUUAUAAUAACUAACACCUGCUCAAUGACCUAUUUUAAAUAGCCGCCGAAAUUUAACCGUGCUAAGGUAGCAUAAUCAUAAGCCUCUUAAUUAGAGGCUCGUAUGAACGGUGAAACAUUUCAAUUACUUUUUUAAUAAAUUUAUUUAAAUUUAAAUUAAGAAUAAAAAUGUUCUUAUUUAUUAAAUAGACGAUAAGACCCUUUUGAACUUUACUUUAGUUUAGCUGGGGCAGCUAAAUAAUAAUCAUCUUAUUAAAAUUUAUUUAAAUAAAUGACCCAAUAUAAUUGAUUUUAUGAACAAGUUACCAUAGGGAUAACAGCGUAAUAUCUUUUUAAAGCUCUUAUUAAAAAAGGACAUUGCGACCUCGAUGUUGAAUUAAUGUAACUUUACUGAUGCAGUAAUUUUAAAAGUAGGUCUGUUCGACCUUUAAAACAU
rnacentral:rRNA from 1 species